GGGGUAAUAUUUUAAUAAAAAAUAUACUAUUCGCAUUAGUAAGAUUAAUGCUCUA
rnacentral:tRNA from 1 species